rnacentral:rRNA from 1 species
UACGUAGGGUGCGAGCGUUGUCCGGAAUUAUUGGGCGUAAAGGGCUUGUAGGCGGUUUGUCGCGUCUGCUGUGAAAAUCCGAGGCUCAACCUCGGACUUGCAGUGGGUACGGGCAGACUAGAGUGUGGUAGGGGAGACUGGAAUUCCUGGUGUAGCGGUGAAAUGCGCAGAUAUCAGGAGGAACACCGAUGGCGAAGGCAGGUCUCUGGGCCACUACUGACGCUGAGAAGCGAAAGCAUGGGGAGCGAACAGGAUUAGAUACCCUGGUAGUCCAUGCCGUAAACGUUGGGCGCUAGGUGUGGGACUCAUUCCACGAGUUCCGUGCCGCAGCUAACGCAUUAAGCGCCCCGCCUGGGGAGUACGGCCGCAAGGCUAAA